AACAAUUCAGAGGACAUAUGCAUAGAGUAUUGACAGAUUUUAAAAAAGGUAAGUUUUAGAAAGAACAAAACAGUUAAGUUCCUAAACACGUGUGGAUCUCAAGCAAUGGCCAGACUGUGUGAAAACUUCAUUCAUGCCAAUGUUCCUGGGGGAGGGCGGAUGUCAACUGUCAUAAUCGAUAGGAAAGCAGUGUGUUGUACAAUGAAUCAUAUGCAUCAACAUGGUAGUGCCAUUUAAUGGCCCUGGUCUUUGCAACCCUGGAAGACACAGUGAGGAUAUAAGUUAAAGGAGAAUAGAGCUUUAUGAUCAAAGACACUUGUCACAUGAUGAAUUAGGGCAAGAUUGAAAAUGGGAAGGAAUUCUAUGAACUCUGAACCCUACAGGCAGGGAAUAAGGAGUAAGGAAAGGAUGGAACAAUAGCUUUGGUCCUACUGUACAUUUCUAAAUGUGUGAAAAGUGUUUCCUGUGUAAGAAUAAAUUAUCAGGGGACAGAUAUGAGGAUGAUGAGAACAGGGCAGGAUUAUUUAACAGCCGAACGCGCUAACCAAUUGCGCCACAGAGACUUACUAUGGGAUUAUUUAAAAUCCUACCCAUCACUGGGCCUUAUCUGACGAAAGCAAAUGUAAUUAACAGGCAGCAAAUAGCCCAAACAUGAGAACAGCUACAGCAGGCAGAGCUCACCUUCAGACACCAGGUAACCUGAGUUCUGCCUGACAUAUUGAACCUUUAGGACCUCAGGAAUCCCUAAACAUGGGCUUUUCAUUGUUGGCUUUUUCCAGUUGCAGUUCAUGAGAAGAAUGCUCACAACUAGGUAUGUAUUUUCUUGUUUCCUCCUCUUUCUUUGGUGCACAUUCUGGAGUUACCGAAGGUAGAUGUGUUUUUCUCCCCCAGAGCAAGACUUGGAUCGAGGAGAGGGAGAUGGCAGAGCAGAGCAGGGAGGCCGCCUACUUGACAUACAGGACUGGAUGUGAUGGAAGGAAAGAGACUGCCUGAUGGAUACAUGAGGCAGAAACCAGUGCCUGGAAGACCAGAGGCACAGACCCUCCAAGGAGAGGUAAGGGGCACAUGGUGACGUGCAGCAGCCUAAUUUCUGCU
rnacentral:lncRNA from 1 species